GGNNUCCCUUAGUAACUGCGAGUGAAGAGGGAAAAGCUCAAAUUUAAAAUCUGGCAGUGCUUUGCUGUCCGAGUUGUAACCUAGAGAAGUGUAACCUGNGCUGGACCGUGUACAAGUCUCCUGGAAUGGAGCAUCACAGAGGGUGAGAAUCCCGUCUUUGACAUGGACUACCAGUGCAUUGUGGUUGUGCUCUCAACGAGUCGAGUUGUUUGGGAAUGCAGCUCUAAAUGGGUGGUAAAUUCCAUCUAAAGCUAAAUAUUGGCGAGAGACCGAUAGCGAACAAGUACCGUGAGGGAAAGAUGAAAAGAACUUUGGAAAGAGAGUUAAACAGUAUGUGAAAUUGUUGAAAGGGAAACGUUUGAAGUCAGUCGCGUUGGCUGGGGAUCAACCUUACAAUUUUGUUGGGUGUACUUCCUGGUUGACGGGCCAACAUCAGUUUUGACUGCCAGAAAAAGGCCAAGGGAAUGUGGCACCUUUGGGUGUGUUAUAGCUUUUGGUCAUAUGUGGUGGUUGGGACUGAGGAAGGCAGUGCGCCGAAAGGCAGGGUUUCGACCACAUUCGCACUGAGGAUGUUGGCAUAAUGGCUUUAAGCGACCCGUCUUGAAACACGGACCAAGGAGUCUAACAUGCAUGCGAGUGUUUGGGUGGAAAACCCUUACGCGUAAUGAAAGUGAAAGUUGAGAUCCCUGU
rnacentral:rRNA from 1 species